UGGAUGUCCAUACCAGAUUAGGAAUUCUAAGUGUUGUGUUCAUGUGGUAUUGGAAUUUAUGUCUGCUGAGAGUGUUGCUGAGUAUAUUCAAUUGACUGAUGAGAUUCAUCUGCUUCCAGAAGACCACAAAGCAAAAGCUGACAAUCUGGAGGUGAAGAAAAUGGCUCUUCAUAGCAUAAAGACAGCAAUAAAAGAAAUACGUGAGCUCACUUCCAAUCCAAAACAUUGAUUGAUUGCACAAGCUAAAAUAUAUUCUUAGAUACCUUUGGAGCCUGUGUUCGAUUUUUUUAUAGAUUUUUAUAGAUUUAGCAAGGUACUUCAAUAUAUUUAUAUAUUUUUUACUGUUGGUAGAUACUUCAGUUGAUUACUUUAAGUUUCUAUUCUUUUUUAUUGGAUUGCGGUGACAUUUUUUGCCUUACCUGAAUCUGAAAUAAAUAGUUUCAUGGUCCUA